rnacentral:rRNA from 1 species
AACGAACGCUGGCGGCAUGCCUAACACAUGCAAGUCGAACGAGACCUUCGGGUCUAGUGGCGCACGGGUGCGUAACGCGUGGGAACCUGCCCUUAGGUUCGGAAUAACUCCCCGAAAGGGGUGCUAAUACCGGAUAAUGUCUUCGGACCAAAGAUUUAUCGCCUUUGGAUGGGCCCGCGUUGGAUUAGCUAGUUGGUAGGGUAAAAGCCUACCAAGGCGACGAUCCAUAGCUGGUCUGAGAGGAUGAUCAGCCACACUGGGACUGAGACACGGCCCAGACUCCUACGGAGGGAGGCAGGGGGGAAAAUUGGAAAUGGGGCAAAGGCCUGAUCCAGCAUGGCGCGUGAGUGAUGAAGGCCUUAGGGUUGUAAAGCUCUUUUACCCGGGAUGAUAAUGACAGUACCGGGAGAAUAAGCUCCGGCUAACUCCGUG